GGGCGGGCGGGAGGUGGCAGGAAGAAACAGGCCCCGUGGAGGUCUGGGACCUGACUGAGGUCGGGCUUUGCUCCGUCAGCUGUUUCAGCUGCCACCUCAGUGAGGGAUUUAUAAAUAUUUGUUGCUCUUCCCCAGACCCCAGGCACACCGUGUGCUCGCUCCCUGGGAAGCAAGAUUGUUUGGCCAUUUCACAGAGAGGGAGCCUGAGGCCCUGGGGACCGGAGACUCAGUCAUGAGGGAAGGCCUGAGGAGGAGCAGGACUACAGUGAAGACCUCUGGCUUUUUCCAUUCUCCAGAUGAAGCCUCUGCGGUCAAAACCAAGUGAGCCUCCAGUAUCUUCUGCUGACAAAACACAUCAUCAAGCCAGCUGGCACAGGAGAAAUAUCAUCUUCAGAGUCCAGUUCCAGAAUCACCAAGCAGAGCAAAGCAAUCACGAAGGUAGUAAAUGUACAACUGGAACGAAAGUGAACAGUUUGACAAAUUGGAUUCCUAAAGCUGAUUCUUUGAAGAAAAGGAUGCAGUGUGACAAGACAAGAAACAGCUCAUCCUCAAAUCGGGAGGAUAAAUAAAAAAAUAGAAGCAACCCCAUUCUCUGGCUUCCCUGCGACUCAAAGGGUGUCUCAGUUGUCACUGAUAAUCUAAUCUUCUGAUGAUAGGUGAGAAACAGGACAAUGGCGACCCAGCCAGGCUGCGGGUGUGAUAGGCCUCUGAUUAAUAGGACUGUCCAAGGAGGCCCCAGCCCCCGGGAAGAUGAUUAAUGACAUUUGAUGUGAACUCUGACCUCCCCCGGCAAGCACAGAGGGAGAAAAGGCGGCUGCUCAGACAGGAUGCGCGUCCUGCAGAAGGUGAUUGAUUCCUGAAGGCUUUGUGACUCUGAGGGUGCGUGGGGGGCCCCUCGUGGCCCCUUCCUGGGCUCUGACAAACACCCUACCCUGGCAGGGGUCUGCAGACUGGAAGGAAAUUUGUGAGGAAAGCACAGCCCUGGAUGAUAACUCUUCUUUGGGGAGGAGCACAUUCAGAGCACGUGCACGUUGGGUUGUCCCAGCUGAGGACUCUCCGAAGGUUCCAGAGGUCUGGGGUCUUCUACGGACAGAGUACUCAUUCCUUCUCCCU